GAGGGUAUAGCUCAGAGGUAGAGGGCUUGCUCACCAUGCAUGAGGUCCUGGGUUCAAUCCCCAGUGCCGCCA
rnacentral:tRNA from 1 species